AAUCAACGCUGGCGGCGUGGCUAAGACAUGCAAGUCGAACGGAUGUAGCAAUACAUCAGUGGCGGACGGGUGAGUAAUGUAUCGCUAAUGUGCCCUAGAGCCUGGGAUAGCCAUCCGAAAGGGUGGGUAAUACCAGAUGAAAUAACUUUGUCGCAUGGCAGAGUUCUCAAAGCAGCAAUGCACUCCUGGAGCAGGCGAUAUCGUACAGCUAGUUGGUGAGGUAACGGCUCACC
rnacentral:rRNA from 1 species